GUGUUACUACCUGAGCUCUAGUAGUAAGACAAUACUGAAUGUAAUGACAACUUUUAUUUUCUAGGGUUCUGAAACCACUGCAGAUGAUGACUGCAGCCAUGAAAUUAAAAGACACUUAUUCCUUGGAAGGAAAGCUAUGACAAACCUAGACAGCCUAUCAAAAAGCAGAGACAUCACUUUGCCAACAAAGGUCCAUAAAGAAAGCUGAGCGCCGAAGAACUGAUGCUUUUGAAUUGUGAUGCAGAGAAGACUCUUGAGAGUCCCUUGGACUGCCAGGAGAUAAAACCAGUCAAUCCUAAAGGAGAUCAGCUGUGACUAUUCACUGGAAGGACUUGUAAGCUGAAUGUAAAGGGCCAGCUCAUUGGAAGACACUGAUGCUGGGACAGAUCAAAUGAACAGGAGAAGAGGGUGGCAGAGGAUUAGAUGGUUGGAUGGCAUCACCGACUCAGUGGACAUGAAUUUGAGCAAACUCCAGGAGAUAGUAGAGGACUGAGGAGCUUGGCAUGCAGUCCAUGGAGUCACAAAGAGUCGGACAUGACUUAGCAACUAAACAACAACAAUACCGCAUGCGUGGGUGUGAGGACGUGGGGCAGUUAGCUCGUGUAUGCCAAUGGUCAUGGUGUCAAUAUGGGCCCCUGAAAACUCACCAUCUAUCAGGUUUGCAAACAACUCUCGGUGACGACCAUUCGGAUGGCCUUUGGAAUUGCACCAAUGAGCCCACGCAUCACGGAGGCACAGAAACCGGCACUACCCCCGCCUCCAGUUUCGGCCGGGAUGCCGCCCGCUGCCUUGUGCGUGAGCCUCAGGGGCGCGCACCCCGGCUCCCCGCCCCGCGAAACCCUGAUCCCUCUUUGAUGGAGAGCCACCCAGCCUUCAGUUGCUCCCUGAGGUCCAGAAGCUGAGUAGAGAAUUUAACCUGAAUUUAAGUCCCUUAAUUCAGUUUUUUAUACCAAUUAUUCCUCCUUUCUAUUCAAUGAUCUUAGUUAUAGAUCCGUAGUCUAUUAUCCUUUAAUUUCUGCAUGAGUUUAGAAGUAAACAUGGCUAUAAAAUAAUAAUGACAUCUUUGUCAACUACAAUUUAGUUCCAUCUAUUGGUUUUCUUACCGAUUUAAAAAUUAAUUUAUCAAUGUCACACUUCAUUCUUAACGUUGACAUUUCAUUUUCCACGUAGGCUGAGAUGCACCUUUCUGAGUUAUCUAUUGUUUCUGCAUCCAAGUCUUCUCUAAAAUAUUUGCUAUCA
rnacentral:lncRNA from 1 species